CUAAAUGAUGCGGUAAUUUGCGAUUGACCUAAUGUCUGUGAAACCCUCGCCGGGGUUUCUAUACAGCAUUAGCGCAUGAUAUUCAUUUCUUACAUAUUCUGAUA
rnacentral:snoRNA from 1 species